rnacentral:rRNA from 1 species
UACGAACUGUGCGAACGUUAUUCGGAAUCACUGGGCUUACAGGGUGCGUAGGCGGCUUUUCAAGUCAGGUGUGAAAGCCCCCGGCUCAACCGGGGAAUUGCGCUUGAAACUGGAGAGCUCGGGUCAGCUAGAGGUGCACGGAACUUCCAGUGGAGCGGUGAAAUGUGUUGAUAUUGGAAGGAACACCGGAGGCGAAAGCGGUGCACUGGGGCUGGUCUGACGCUGAGGCACGAAAGCGUGGGGAGCAAACAGG